rnacentral:sRNA from 1 species
GUAAACCUCCACACAAAAAUGGUGGUUUGCGUAAAGUUGGAUUGAAUAGCGCUUUUGAUGUGUUUUAAAACUGAAACCGAUAUGAAAUGAUAUGAAAUGAAUUUCCUGCAUUUAUGAUACAGCGAUUUAUGAUGGCUUCGAAGACUUAUGUCUUUAACGUUUAAUGGAUUACCGCGUGAAUAUUAUCGGAUCAGGAAAAAAAAAGAGGUAAGUGUCGUAAGACGGUAUCGUUCAUAUUUUAAAGCGUGCACGUAUUUUUGCUUUCAAUGUAAAUGCCUGCAGCUUUACACAGCGAGAUGUCAAAAGUAUCAAAAAGAAGUGGAUAGACAUUCACAGCAAAACCAGAAAAAGAGAGGAGAAGAGAGCAUAAAAAGACCGGGGGGGGGGGUCCACCUCCACUGAGCUUGAAGCCAUGGGAAGAUAAGAUUGUUUCUAUUUUCGAUGAUAGCAUGGUGGUAGGGAUAGAAGGUGGUUUUGACAUCAGUGAGUGUGGAAGCAAUGAGUUCCCUAAAGCCACAUCUAAUGGUACUUCCAAGUUCAUAUCAGCAGAUGUCCCAAAACCAAGGAACUAAUUCCUGAGACUCCUCCUCCCUCAUUUGCUGGAGGUACCAUUAUGCCAACUGGCUGUUCCACAAAGAGAAAAAGAAAGAUCACUGUUGAGACAGCAUGUACAUCAGAUAACUCCAAGGCAGAGCUACUGCUUAACAUCCAGAGAGAGAAACUGUAGCUUUAAAAAAGUCUGCUCGAGGUAGAAAAGAAGAAGUUGGAUGUGCUUAAAGAGAUCUGUGUUGAAUUGAAAAGAAAAAACUGUUGCUGUUCCUAUUCUUUUCAAACUCUUGAGCCCUUAGUUGAGCUUGAACCAGCAUCUUGCUCAGUUUCACCAACUAUCAAAGGUCUUGUUGUGAAAGAAAUUUAAUUUUGUCUGUGCAAUGUAAUUAGCCUUUUUUAUACCAUGUAAAGAGCUUUCCUGAUGAAUACUGCCUGUAUGCCUGUCUCUCAAUCUGUCUGUUUGUAAACUAAGGACAUAUUUUCCUUCUACUUUAGAACCCAUUGGCAGUAAAUAUUAUUAUUGUAUAUUCUAAAAUAUUGAAUUGAAGGGUCAACCUUUAUGAAAGGGAGAUAAUCAUAAAACUCGGUUAACAUUUAAAUAGGUGUCAUAAAGAUAUUCUUCUCAAGAAUCACUGCACUAGCUAUUCCGGUCUUAAUAACAUAGUGAAAAUUAUAAGAAAAAAAUAUGUAAUGCCACAUGAUACACCAAUUUAAAAAUAUUCCAUAAGUGAGCAAUGUGGCUCAUUAUUCUCUUGUAUUGCUUGUUAAAUUUGUUGGGUGAUGGUAUUUGUAAAUCUUUAUUUUUUUAAUUUUCUGAUGUUUUAAAUUUUCUGAUGUAAUAGAGAUCUUAUGGUCAUUUCAUUAAGAGAUGAAAUAGAUAUUUUGUGAUUUCAUAGCAUGGCAAUUACUCUUGAUUGUUUAAUGACAUUGCAUUUUGCAAUGGAAAUUUUUUUAGUAUCAAAUCCAAUGGUUAAAGUUACAUUUGUGUUAUACUUGUUUUACUAUUGUUUUCAUCUUGUGUUUAACUGUUAAGGUAUGAUGACAUGAUAACAAUUAUUUUUAUAACCUU